AUGGUGGGCGGCGUGGCGGUGGUGGGAGUGGUUGUGGGAGGGCGCGAAGGACGGGCGGCGUGGCGGCGGUGGCGGCGGGGCCGGCGAGACGACGGGGCCGUGCUGGUGCGGGGGCGGCUGGCGGCGGCGCCAGCCGGACUGCUGCAGCGCGUAGGCGACGUCGGCGACGGGGAAGAACUGCUGCAUGUGGAUGACGGGCGCCCAGUGGUGGCGGCGCUGCUGCACGGCGGCGAAGACGUGGUCGUACUCGCCCGGGUCGCCGACGGCGCGGAGGUGGACGACGAGGAGGUCGAUGAUGGCGUUGGCGGCGGCGAACUCGCCCCGCAGCCAGGAGAUGAAGCCGUCGCGCUCGUCCAUGAGCCAGCCGGCAGGCUCGGCGGCCCUGUGCACGCCGGCGGGGGAGGGGAUGACGGCCGCGGAGGCCAUGGCCGUGCCUCAGUGGGGGCCGAGGGUCAUAGAAGGGCAAUGCGCGCGGGAGAUCUAGGGUUUUGGCGAGUUUUUCCCCCUGGUAUUUUUCGCCCCUCCCCCUGUGGCCUGGCCUGGUGGCAGCGCUGCGACGAGGAGGAGAGACGGGGGACGGAGGGAGGAGGAGGAGGCUAG
rnacentral:rRNA from 1 species